UGAAACAAUUUAUGGAUGAUUUACCAAAGCUUUUUCUUUUAGCAGUAAUUUUAAAACAGAAAAAAAAUUAAAACAACAGCUUUGUGUUCUCAUAAUCAUUAGCUAAGAGAUAAUGAAGUAACACAAAACUAGUAAAAUAGCAAUGUUUUUAGUGAACAUCAUGGCUGAAUUGCUUUAAAUGCGCACAAUAUUGUUUACGUUUAUAUCACCAUUAAAUCAUCAGGAAUAUAUUGGGAAUAUUCAGUAAAUUACCCAGCUCUAAUUGUUAUAUAAUUAACAAAUCCAAACUGCUCUUGUCAUCUUAUCUUUCCCUAUGCCAACUCUGGAAAUUUUUCGCGGUCACUUGCCAGCAGCACCAGAGGGCCCAGAACAGCUUCACCAAUUAACAGCACAGCAAGAUUCAUUGCCCUGCUUUUAACAAUCAUUAUAGAUUGAGGCUGAACAUGUGUUGAUGGUUAAUUUUAUUUCCAAGAGAGCGCAAAACAAUUAGCCUCUUAAAGUGUGCUAGCGAUGUCUAAAUACAGCUAGAUUAGCUCUUGAAUUGGACUGAGAGGAUGGAGAGAGAUCUGGGCUUCCAGUGACAUCUACUGAUCCCACGUCACUCCUCUCCCUACCAGCCAGUCUGUAGAGACUGGGUUACCGGCUUGGGCUCACACAUAUUCAUGGACACAGCUGGGACAUUUUAAUUAACUUAAUUCUGCUUAAUUACUCACUCCGGUGCAGCUGACCAAACUCCAUCACGAACCCUCUCCGCACGGCUGAGUUAUGGCCAGCUUUGAGAGGGGUUGUGGGAACCGGAGAAAGAUGGACAGGCAGGAACACCAAACAGUGGACUUCAGUGAAGAACUGGGAAGAGUUGCACCAGCCAUUUAGCCUCCUGACAUCCAGCAGUGGGGUUUGAGAUGCAGAGGGCAGGGGCUGCUCCUCCUGGUGCUCCGGGGUCAGGUAAGGUAGCAUAGAGGUCUGCUCGGGGUCAGAAGGGCCCAGCAGGAGAGCCUGAGAGUGGGCAGACUGUAUGUGGAUUUAGAACCCGAGGACCAGAACCAUCCACGUACCACCAAUUAAGCCCGACUCUGCCCCGGUGAUGCGGGACACCACCAGGCCGGGUCUUGGGCCCCUUCUUGUUUAUGCAUUUGCAUUGUUCCCAGAUGUGUAACUAGGCAAUUGUGCUGGGCCAUAAAACAGCAUGUCUUUUUAAAAGCAUUUGAAAGGGAAAAAGAGGCAAGCUAGUCUAUUCAUUUACCUCAACUGUGUCAAUCUCUCACAAACACUAUUAUAACCUUAAACCAGCCGAAUAAUGAGCAAAACCACAGCUCCUACUGAGUUGGCAAAAGAGACAGUAAAGAAGGGAGGAGAAAACCUUAAAAAAGGACAACAAGAGGGAAAGAAAAUUAAUGACUCUUCACAUAUUGCCUGUGUUUCUUUUGUGGAGACCAACAAAAGACAAGCAGGUUCGAGAGGAUGUGGGGCUCGGGAGCCAGUGGAUAUCUGGCCGGUAAAUUCCACCAAACAUUAAUAACUUCAUUACAUAGCAAUUACCAGCCAGAGGUGGGGGAACGGAGUAUCACACUUCAACAUGCAUUUGUCCAAGACUCGGCACUUCUCGGCCUUCUCCUUUUCUCUCUCACCCCCUCUUUCUUACCCCAUCUUUCUUUCUCUCCUAAAGGCAGAAAGGUCAAACCAUUACAUCGUCUGAAUGAAAUGUUCCUGACUUCCUGUGAUCUAUAGGCGACUGGCCUGGAAGCCACUGGUAUUGUUCAGGUGUGUAAUAAUUAAUGCAGCACUAGAAUGACUCUCCUGGGAUGAACGGAGGGGUGGGAAUGCUGUCGAUUCCACACCCACUGAGGUCACAAACUGUCUCCGGAUCAAAAGGCCAAAACGGGAAGCCAAAGAGCAAUGCUACAAUGCUCAGUUUACUUAUUUACUAUCAGUUGUCUUAUUUGAAUUGAACACACUCUGUAAUUCCCUGGUAAAGCAGAUAUCUGUCUAUAUCUAUAAUUUAAUUGAUGUCAAAUAAUUGGCUGCUAUUACAGUGCCAUAUUACAAAACCACACUGUGAACCCACAUUAUACUUAUUUACUGAUUACAUAUUAUAUCAUAUUAUUUACCACACCUGAGUGUCAUUAUUUCCAGAGAAAUGAAAACGUUUGUGUGCGAUCUUUAAACAGGUGUGACUCCUAAAUAUAUAUUUAUAUAUUUAAUGAGUAUUUAAUUAAUUUGUUUCUUCAUAUACUUGUUAGCAGUGCAUACUUAGGUUGUUUAGUUUAUUGCAUUAUUUUGCAUGAUUCGUGCUGCCCUGAUGGCAAGUUGUGUUUGUAAUAUUCCACUCUGUUUAUAUAUGUUUAUUAAUCAUGGUUCAGCAGAGGAUAAAUUACAGUAUAAUGAGCAUUUAUUGACAUUUCUUUUAUGGACACUUUUGUAUUAAGUCAUACAUGUAAUAAAAUAAGUGUGAUGCAUGAGGACGCACACAGACUGAAAUGAUAUGGGCAAGCAGAGACAUGAAACAGCAAUCAAGUCUUUGAUGUGAGCCUCGGGCAACAAGUCAACCUGAACCUCCUUUACAAGGAACUAUUCAUAAUUGCUGCAUGUUCAUACAAAGACAUGCAUUGUUUCCUUCUCUGAUUCUCAAUUCGAAAAUACAUUCGCAUUAACACGUAUCUAAGUUUGACCUACUUUGUUUGAUAAAAUGAUCAUUUACUCAGGCCCUCCUCACAUCUGAGUCUAUCACUCUACGAGAGUCAAAAUAUUGCAUCGUCUAAAUGUUUUUAUUGUUCUGUUGCAAACAGCUUAAGGUGUUAAACAACCCGAGCAAAUUGAUUUUUAACCAAGAUAAACGUUUCCAUGGUGCUUUUUUCUUAAUUCCAGGAAGCUGGUGCUCAAUAAUCAACCCCUGUCACCGUUGAUGGAAGACAUCAGGAUUCACACAAUACAGCGUGUUAAACAUCAAACUGUGGUGUGAACGAAGCAUCUCUGCUCUCUAACUCUCUGACUGUGAUUCCUUACAGAAGCUGCUGCUGGUGACACUUCCAAUGAAACUCCAGCAGAAAUGAGCCUUACGAGGUACAGGCACUUGAAGACAAGAUAAUUAAGGACUCUGACAGCAUGAACACACAGUGGAGAUAAAAGAAAAAAAAAAUAAUCUGAAUGACAUGAGGGCGAGUAAAUGAUGAAAACAUUUUCGGUUUUGCCUGAAUGACUCCUUUAAAGAAGCCAAACAGGAAGUGAUUUGUGCUUGUGCCCUUGGAGAAGAGAGAUCCCUGCAUCAACAAUGUUUGGAAUAAUCAAAUAAUCAAUCAGUUAAUUAAUUAGUCUGGUGAAUAAUUGAAGGUCUCAGUCCAGACUUCCUCUCUGAUCUGGAAGAAGCUGGCGUCUGAGUAAGAGCAUCAGACAGCGAUGUAUACAUCGCUUUAAUCAGCACUUUGAUCUUCUCUACAACACCCGUAUAAGUCAAUUAAAACUAGGCUGACGACGAUGAAUUAUGCAGCACAUUUAUUAAAACAUUUAUCAGCCAGACUUAUUAUAAAUAGAUGACUUUGGUAAAGACAGCGGGUGCAGAUGAAUAGGAAAUAUUGGAUGAUUUGCCCCAUAAGGCCCUUAUGCUUGGCUUAGCUUUGUCCUCCUGAAGGCACUACAGCACGCAUGCAGGCCAGCACACGCGUGUGCUUCGACAUCUGCCCGCAGGACGUGUCAGUGGAAACUUCUCGCAUCCGACUGAUCCAGCACAGACACUGGGAAGCUUGCAGGGCUGAAGACGUCAGAUGCAAACCCUCACAGUCAUGGAGAACAGAAAAAGAUCAGCUUCAGAAACGCAGUAUUACAUCUGGGAGAGAUGAUGGAAAAUGAACAAAACUCAGCAGCGACUGUGAACAUGAUUGUCCCCUUAAGCUCCAUAUUCUGGUUAAGCCUUUAUUCUGAACAGAUGUUUGCUCCACAGAUAUUGGGAUAUUCCUGUAUAGUCAACAUAAGCUGAAAACAAAAGAGUAUUCUUUUGUGUGGAUACUGGAGUUUAUGACACAGUUUGUAUAUUGCUUGAACUGCUUAUUGCAAUCAGGUUAAUGUGUUUAUGUGUAAUGUGUAAUCAGGUUAAUCAUAUAUUCUAUGAUUAAAAAUGCAGAUUACGGUCAAUCCAGACCAAUCCAGGAUGUGCUCUUAAAUGUGUCUAAUUUGAGAAUCACAUUGCAAAACAAAAUCUAUG